UGACUUCUAUCUUUUCAGUUUUCCAAACACGAAGAAGGCGUAACUCAUGUUCUUGUAACUGGUGGUGCUGGCUAUAUUGGUUCACAUACUGCUUUACGACUUCUUAGGGAGUCAUACCGUGUAACUAUUGUGGACAAUCUUUCACGUGGAAACAUAGGUGCCGUCAAGGUUCUACAAGACUUAUUUCCAGAACCCGGAAGGCUUCAAUUCAUUUAUGCUGAUCUCGGUGAUGCAAAAGCUGUA